rnacentral:rRNA from 1 species
UAUGGGGGGACCAUCCUCCAAGGCUAAAUACUCCUGACUGACCGAUAGUGAACCAGUACCGUGAGGGAAAGGCGAAAAGAACCCCGGCGAGGGGAGUGAAAAAGAACCUGAAACCGUGUACGUACAAGCAGUGGGAGCCUCUUUAUGGGGUGACUGCGUACCUUUUGUAUAAUGGGUCAGCGACUUAUAUUCUGUAGCAAGGUUAACCGAAUAGGGGAGCCGAAGGGAAACCGAGUCUUAACUGGGCGUUAAGUUGCAGGGUAUAGACCCGAAACCCGGUGAUCUAGCCAUGGGCAGGUUGAAGGUUGGGUAACACUAACUGGAGGACCGAACCGACUAAUGUUGAAAAAUUAGCGGAUGACUUGUGGCUGGGGGUGAAAGGCCAAUCAAACCGGGAGAUAGCUGGUUCUCCCCGAAAGCUAUUUAGGUAGCGCCUCGUGAAUUCAUCUCCGGGGGUAGAGCACUGUUUCGGCAAGGGGGUCAUCCCGACUUACCAACCCGAUGCAAACUGCGAAUACCGGAGAAUGUUAUCACGGGAGACACACGGCGGGUGCUAACGUCCGUCGUGAAGAGGGAAACAACCCAGACCGCCAGCUAAGGUCCCAAAGUCAUGGUUAAGUGGGAAACGAUGUGGGAAGGCCCAGACAGCCAGGAUGUUGGCUUAGAAGCAGCCAUCAUUUAAAGAAAGCGUAAUAGCUCACUGGUCGAGUCGGCCUGCGCGGAAGAUGUAACGGGGCUAAACCAUGCACCGAAGCUGCGGCAGCGACACUAUGUGUUGUUGGGUAGGGGAGCGUUCUGUAAGCCUGUGAAGGUGGCCUGUGAGGGUUGCUGGAGGUAUCAGAAGUGCGAAUGCUGACAUAAGUAACGAUAAAGCGGGUGAAAAGCCCGCUCGCCGGAAGACCAAGGGUUCCUGUCCAACGUUAAUCGGGGCAGGGUGAGUCGACCCCUAAGGCGAGGCCGAAAGGCGUAGUCGAUGGGAAACAGGUUAAUAUUCCUGUACUUGGUGUUACUGCGAAGGGGGGACGGAGAAGGCUAUGUUGGCCGGGCGACGGUUGUCCCGGUUUAAGCGUGUAGGCUGGUUUUCCAGGCAAAUCCGGAAAACCAAGGCUGAGGCGUGAUGACGAGGCACUACGGUGCUGAAGCGACAAAUGCCCUGCUUCCAGGAAAAGCCUCUAAGCAUCAGGUAACAUCAAAUCGUACCCCAAACCGACACAGGUGGUCAGGUAGAGAAUACCAAGGCGCUUGAGAGAACUCGGGUGAAGGAACUAGGCAAAAUGGUGCCGUAACUUCGGGAGAAGGCACGCUGAUAUGUAGGUGAAGCGACUUGCUCGUGGAGCUGAAAUCAGUCGAAGAUACCAGCUGGCUGCAACUGUUUAUUAAAAACACAGCACUGUGCAAACACGAAAGUGGACGUAUACGGUGUGACGCCUGCCCGGUGCCGGAAGGUUAAUUGAUGGGGUUAGCGGUAACGCGAAGCUCUUGAUCGAAGCCCCGGUAAACGGCGGCCGUAACUAUAACGGUCCUAAGGUAGCGAAAUUCCUUGUCGGGUAAGUUCCGACCUGCACGAAUGGCGUAAUGAUGGCCAGGCUGUCUCCACCCGAGACUCAGUGAAAUUGAACUCGCUGUGAAGAUGCAGUGUACCCGCGGCAAGACGGAAAGACCCCGUGAACCUUUACUAUAGCUUGACACUGAACAUUGAGCCUUGAUGUGUAGGAUAGGUGGGAGGCUUUGAAGUGUGGACGCCAGUCUGCAUGGAGCCGACCUUGAAAUACCACCCUUUAAUGUUUGAUGUUCUAACGUUGGCCCGUAAUCCGGGUUGCGGACAGUGUCUGGUGGGUAGUUUGACUGGGGCGGUCUCCUCCUAAAGAGUAACGGAGGAGCACGAAGGUUGGCUAAUCCUGGUCGGACAUCAGGAGGUUAGUGCAAUGGCAUAAGCCAGCUUGACUGCGAGCGUGACGGCGCGAGCAGGUGCGAAAGCAGGUCAUAGUGAUCCGGUGGUUCUGAAUGGAAGGGCCAUCGCUCAACGGAUAAAAGGUACUCCGGGGAUAACAGGCUGAUACCGCCCAAGAGUUCAUAUCGACGGCGGUGUUUGGCACCUCGAUGUCGGCUCAUCACAUCCUGGGGCUGAAGUAGGUCCCAAGGGUAUGGCUGUUCGCCAUUUAAAGUGGUACGCGAGCUGGGUUUAGAACGUCGUGAGACAGUUCGGUCCCUAUCUGCCGUGGGCGCUGGAGAACUGAGGGGGGCUGCUCCUAGUACGAGAGGACCGGAGUGGACGCAUCACUGGUGUUCGGGUUGUCAUGCCAAUGGCACUGCCCGGUAGCUAAAUGCGGAAGAGAUAAGUGCUGAAAGCAUCUAAGCACGAAACUUGC